GCCGGGGUCGCCUAGCAUGGUAGGGCGGCGGCCUGCUAAGCCGCUGGGGUUACUCCCCGCGCGGGUUCAAGUCCCGCCCCCGGCGCCA
rnacentral:tRNA from 2 species